rnacentral:lncRNA from 1 species
AAGCACCGAGCUGUAAAUCGCUUGAGACCUGUAUUUGGUUGUUUUGUUGGUUUUGCCAAGUAAGGUCACUUGAGGAUUUCUUGGCUCGAGGUCCCAGGUUGCGCAGACUCUGACUGCAUCGAGUUGAGAAUUUUGGUCAGAAUGUUAAAGUGGAAACCUACCCCAGGCUGUCAUGACUUUUGCAUUCUGGUAACCAACUGAUCCUACCCGGACCCAUGAUGCAUAACUCAGCUGGUCCUGUGGCGCACACCCAGAGGCCGACUCAAUGCAUGAAGACUGUUUUCCACACCCCUAUGAUUUCAUCCCCAACCAAGCAGCAGCAUCCAUUCCCUAGCCCCCUGCCCACCAAAUUAUCCAUAAAAACUC